rnacentral:misc_RNA from 1 species
UCGUGAGGCUCCGGCCUCUUCGAGGGAGAAUCCUUGCCUUUUCGAGCACCUGUUUGUUUCCUCGGCAGGCUCGCCUGCCAAUGGGGACCAUUUAAACUCUUGCAAAUAACCUGAAAUAAAUCGUCUGAAUGAAUGUAAUAAAUCA